rnacentral:lncRNA from 1 species
CUUGUAAUACUGAUGGUAAUAAUUUAUAUAAUUUCUGAGAUGAUAUAGCAGUGCCAUUGGUUUCCCCUUUCUCCUUCUUCAAAGAACUUGAUCAUCUGAACCCUUCUUUCUUUUUUUUUUUUUUAAAUUGGAGCCCUGUUCAAGAACAGUUAAAAGAGCAUAUGCUUAAUUUUCGUUAUCUUUUAGAAUCAUCAUUUUUUUUUAAAAUAAAACAGGUUGUACAUUCUACAUAAAAUAUGCUAGUCAACCGUAAAUGUU